rnacentral:rRNA from 1 species
GACGAACGUUGGCGGCGUGCUUAACACAUGCCAGUCGAACGGAAAUGCUCUGCUUAUGUGGGGUGCUAGAGUGGCGAACGGGUCAGUAAGACGUGGGUAAUCUACCCUGAAGACUGGGAUAACUGUCGGAAACUGGAGGUAAUACCGGAUAGGCGGUCCGGCCGCCUUGGUUGGGCUGGGAAGUGUCGGCGGUUGGGGAUGGACUAGCGGCUUGUUAGCGUGUUGGUGGGGUAGUGGCGGACCAAGGAGGCGACGGGUAGCCGGCCUGAGAGGGUGACCGGCCACAUUGGGACUGAGAUACGGCCCAGACUCCUACGGGAGGCAGCAGUGGGGAAUAUUGCACAAUGGGCGGAAGCCUGAUGCAGCAACGCCGCGUGCGGGAUGACGGCCUUCGGGGUGUAAACCGCUUUCGCCUGUGACGAAGCGUGAGUGACGGUAAUGGGUAAAGAAGCACCGGCUAACUACGUG